CUCCUCACCAACCCCUCGAAACCCUGCUGGUUACUUGACUAGUGCUUCUCCAACCUCUCAAGUCUUCAAGUUAUACCUACCUCUUUCUUAAUCAAUUUUUUCAUCUUCACCAUCAGUGAUUCGACAGCGGUAUGUACAGCAACUGACCUUGCAUUCCUCUUUGAUCACCAUCAUCUCUCAUUCAGUUGGCAUGUCGGUGAGAGAUCAAUCAAUUAAUUUAACAUGAUGCACAAUUCUUCAUUUUUUUCUCAAAUGAUUUAAUCACCUCUGCAUCUCAUGAUCGCUCUUUGCUUUCUGAAUAGGGGAUCUCUUCUCUCCUAAGCGACACUCAUGGCGGGCAUGGUGGGUUCAGCUGUUGUGCAAGAGACCGUGAACAGAAUCACCUCCUACCUGUUCAGCAAGUGUGACCAUGACGAAAGGACGACAUCCACAAGGCAUCACAUUGAGAGGCUUGAGAUGGCGCACACCGAACUAGAGCUUGCACUUGAGAGAUCUGCAAGGAUGCCGAUCACAGACGUGUCCCUUCUACGGCGCAGGAAGCUGUUGGAGCGUGCCUUCAAAGACUGCGGAGAUCUGCUAUACAGGUGCAUCAAGCAGCAAACAAUGGACGUCAUAGAGUUGGAACAACCAGUAAGACACUCCUUCUCUAAAUGGGUCGCACAUGUGGCACAAUCUUCCGUGUCCUCCUAUUUCGCUGGGUUUCACAAAGACAACAUAAGCUGCUCAGAUGUUCGAAGAAACGAGUGGUUUGCGGAGUGCGCCAACCGUUUCCUCAGAGAUGUGGAGUCAGGAUGCUCACCUCUGCGGUGCGUGUUCUCUAACCCUCUUGUCAGGCAACUUCUUGAGGGCAAAACUCUAGAGUACAAGAUGUUGCAAGGAAGUAUACUCCGGUGUCUGCACAUACAGAGCAUGUGUGUGGAAGGGCGUGGUGUGGAGGCGACGCUGGAAUUUCGCUAUGAAGACCGGAAGACACCGAUGAGAAGUUUUUCUCUCAUGUUGAUUCUACGAUUGUCAGAGAGCAUGGACAUUGUCGGAACUGCUAUAAGAUGCUUGCAGUCAUUCACGUCUUCGAUGAAGGAUGUGGCUGAAGCAGUAAUGAGAGAACUCAUCCAACUGCCUCAGCAAGACAUUUCCCACUCACACGCUGCUUCAUGUUUCGCCAUAAAAGAUUUGGGUUCCUAUGACACCCACUUUUGGCGCCCGGAUCCACUAUGUUGCAAGCCAGACAGGUGUGCUACUAGCUGUAUUCCAUCAGAAUUAUCAUGCAAAUUCCCGGAGCAGGUUAUUCUGAUACGCAUCGAAUGCUACGUUUCUGCCUUUGAGUGCAGCAGCCUGCAUAACACAGCUGAUGCAACUGCAAGAAACCUCGUGGCUGAGCUGCCACCUCUGAAGCUUGGAGUGGGCUUCGCACCUCACUUUUUCGAUGAACGCACGCAAGGUAGAACUGCAGUUGAAAUAAUCGGAGGGAAGGAAGAGCUUAUAAAUGAUAGCCUACAGCAAAUGGACGAGACAGUACGAUCAAAGGCAAUCAAACAUUACAUUUGCCAACCUGAUCUGGCAUAUUAUAAAAUGGGGUGGUAUCCAGGACAUGGCGGUGCCUACUUCAUGGUGCAAAAAUCGGGCACUGAAAUAGCAAAGGUGCACAAAGUCGAUUGUGGUUUCGACAUCCGGAGAUCUUCAAAGAGAAGGCGGUCGAAGUGAGAAGAAUGGAGCACGAAUUCAUGCUUAGCAUAUUUAUGAGAUUGUGUUUAGAUUCAACCAAGUGCCUAAGGAUUUUGGUCAUGCAACAACAGACAUAAGUAGGAUGGAUAUGUGAUCAAGUUAGCCUGUGAGGGACAGUAAACCAAAAAUAAUGCCCCAUUAUAUGGCGGUACAAUUUUGUACUUUAGAUGUGGGAUUAAAUGAUUAAAUGUUUCUUUAAGUUGGAUGAUAUUAUGGUCUUGUCAGUCUAUUUAUAAUCCGUCAUAUACAGUUAUAGUUCCUUUUUUUCUCAACUGUAGCUUCAUUCAUCAAGCAUGGUCCAUUUCACAGAAAGUAAGCCCAUUGAACCAAAAUACAUGACAUGUGAAAAAUGGGACACAAGAACAAUGUAGUGAGUCAAUUUGACACCAAUCAGACUAGCAUGCCAAGGUAAUAAAUUGACAAUGAUUUGUAUUUUGUAUAUUGGCUUCAUUCUAUUAGAAAUUGCCAGUGACAAGCAGCCAAGACAAUUCCAAGUUCCUUGUCCAAAAAUACUUUCAAACGGUAUUCUUCACACCUCCACUUUCUUUCCCUGUCAUUGAUAGUUAUCACACCAACAACCUCCAUUUUGACGUGACUUGACAAACCUCUUCGUCUUUUUCCAUGUAAUGCAUGUUGGACUAAUAUAUUCAUCAAGUAGAAAUUCUCGUCGUUGACCUAAGUACGACUUCUUGACUAAAUGCAUGCAUGAUUUCUCUUGGAGAGACCAAAUCCAAACAAUGCUUCACAAUUGAAGUUGUCUAACGUUUCCCCCUUCAAAGUCUUGGCCAUCAUUAUCUUCUCUUUAAGUUGUAAUCUUCCCUUGCAGUGAGGUUAGGAAUUUUUGUACGAAGACCACAGGACACCAACGAUAUUGUUGGGACUGCUAUAAGGUGCUUGCGGUCAUUCACCUCUUCAUUCAAGCCUGUGGCUGAAGCUGUAUUUGGAGAACUUGCCUGACUGCCUUCUCAAGACAUUUCGCAUUCACAAGAUGCUCCUUGUUUCACUAUACAAGAAUUGUGUUCCUACGGUUUGGCGUCCGGAUGCAAUAUGUUGCAAAUCGAAUGGGUGUGAUGGACACAACAUACCGUCGGAACUAUCAUGCAGAUUCCCGGAGCAGGUCAUCCUGGUACAUGUUGAAUGCUUUGCUUCGGCCUCUGAGUGCAGCAAAUUGCAUAGCACAGCAGCUGACGGAGCUCGCACAAAUAAAUGUGGUGGGUCACUGGCCGCCUCUGAAGCCGGGAGUUGGCUUCGCACCUCACUUCUUCCUUGAAUGCAUGCAAGAGAGAACAGCAUUUGAGAUAUAGGCGUUUCGGUCAUCCAACAUUUGGUGUUCAUUUUAUCCCUUGUAAUCAAUACUGAAUUUGUACUUCCUGUUUCAUGCUCAAUGGAAUAUGGAGCUUGUGAAUUUUUCGCUGUA